GGAGGUCAGAGGGCACUCAGAAUCUGCGCCGCCGCACUGGUCCCCGACGCUUUCUGCGCCAUUUUUAAUAAGGUCCACGCCUUAAGUUCGGUGGAAGGAAAGUCGGCCUGUGAGACACCUCAGCUCCCAGCCCUCCCCGCACAGGUCUUGAGGGAUGCGACUUGCCGGAGAAACGUUUGUAUUGUUGUGGCAGCUGCGCUGCGAGGGCCUAGGAGUUUAAUAAUUGUCUGUUAAAUGGAUGAGUGAAUUAAUUUCUGCUACGAUACUUUCACACUCGUCUCCUGGCUCCUCCCAGCAGCACUUGAGUCAGGUACGGAUCAUUCCCAUUUUGCAGUGGAGAAACCUAGAGGCUAAAGCCGGCCUGUGAAAGAUUGCUGAGCAUCAUCCAGCCAGAGAUCCUGGGCUCGUGGUCUGCUUGAGCUAAAAGACACCAAGGCAUCGACUGUAUCUUUAUUCGUAAUGCAUGGUUUACUGGAUAUCCAAUCCAGUCUAGUGUGCUUAGGACUGCUACCCAGACCCAGCUCCUUCUCCUGGAGUGACGUGGAAGGUGGACAGUUAAAUAUAUAAUUACAACCAUUGUGAUAAAAAUGAGAUGAUUGGGGCACGUGCUUGCUCAGUGUUUCAAAAAAGUGGUAUGUGCAAGAAAGGAUUUUGAGUGGCACACAAAGGAACAUUAAAAUUUUUUAAUUUAAGUAGGAUUUCCCCCCUCCUAUUUCUUGGGAAUAUAUAAUACGUAUACAAGGUAC
rnacentral:lncRNA from 1 species